UUGACAGGGGUGUCUUGAAAUAUAGGGAAAAACCCGAACAAACUGCCUUGUUGUGCAAUUAAUCCAAUGUUUUCCCCCAAUUUUGCGAAGGCUAUAUAACCCAUCGACUGAUAAUCGAAUCCACAAUCGAAGAUAAUCUCUGCUGAAAUGGCAACCGAAAAAGUAAAUCCAGCUACGGACGAAGUAAAGAUGGAUCUGUUCGAAGAUGAUGAUGAAU